AGUGAACGCUGGCGGUAGGCCUAACACAUGCAAGUCGAACGGCAGCACAGUAAGAGCUUGCUCUUACGGGUGGCGAGUGGCGGACGGGUGAGGAAUACAUCGGAAUCUACUUUUUCGUGGGGGAUAACGUAGGGAAACUUACGCUAAUACCGCAUACGACCUACGGGUGAAAGCAGGGGGUCUUCGGACCUUGCGCGAUUGAAUGAGCCGAUGUCGGAUUAGCUAGUUGGCGGGGUAAAGGCCCACCAAGGCGACGAUCCGUAGCUGGUCUGAGAGGAUGAUCAGCCACACUGGAACUGAGACACGGUCCAGACUCCUACGGGGGGCAGCAGUGGGGAAUAUUGGACAAUGGGCGCAAGCCUGAUCCAGCCAUACCGCGUGGGUGAAGAAGGCCUUCGGGUUGUAAAGCCCUUUUGUUGGGAAAGAAAAGCAGCAGGUUAAUACCCCGCUGUUCUGACGGUACCCAAAGAAUAAGCACCGGCUAACUUCGUG
rnacentral:rRNA from 1 species